GUAGUUUUAUACGGUGCAUUAAACAGCCAUUUUGACGUUUACGGUACUCGUUUAAAUGAAAUCUACAUGUAUAAGAGAAUGUUAACUAACAUCUUAGCAUUAGGUGAAACGGCAUUCUUCAAUACGGUUUCUUUAAUUGAUAUUAUUUACGAUGCGGGUGAUAAUUACACCUUCAGAAUGUUCCAAGAAGAAGCAAACAACUUCUUAGUAUCAGUCAGAAAGUUAAUUAGAUUAACUCCUUCUGUAGCACAAACUCCACUAUAAUAUUUGUUAGAAAUUGGGUUGAAAUUUCUAAGCAUGCUAGUUAGUCGCAGUGUGCGCAUAAGCUUAAGAGUACUCUCUCUCUGGAGCGGUAGGUUGUGACUAGUCCCAAUCACUAUUUUCCCUGGCAGAAACUUAGCGGUAAGAUUUUUAGUGUCGCAAGGCUGCUACUGGAGUCAAUAAUUGGAGAUGUUAUAGUGAAGCUUGCUCUAGACUCCUUCGCAGUAGCAACUAUUAGUCGUUGUUGUACUCUUCAAAAGGUACAGUAUUGUUAGAAAUCGAAGUAGCUAACUUUGUUAGUUCAGUAGCAGAAUGCCUGCCCUUCAAGCAGGAGGCGAAGGUGCGAUUCCUUCACAGAGUAUUUGUUAAGGGAAGAAUAUUAAUAUUUUAACCCGAAAUCAUGUGAUCUAAUUAUGAAUAGAGUGCGAGAGAUUAAUAUUUCUUAAAAGCUCGAACCAGUAUCUGUAGCAAAAGAUUUGGAUAAUUUGUGAUUAGGAGUGAUAGGCUUAUCGAACACGACUACAGCUGGUUUUCGACGAAAUAUAUAUAAGUAUAGCAUUAAAUGAUUAGCUAUUUAUGUAAAGUAACAAGUCCAAUGUUGGGUUGUAUAUGACGAUACCGCGUGAGCUUUAUCUUUGAAAGGAAUAGCAGUUGAAGCGUAGUUUUAGGAAUUACGGGAGACUCGAAAGAGUGAUGAAAUUUUAACAAUGUUUAAUUUAAUAGUCAAACUAUAGGUGAGAAGGUCUAUAGUUUAAAGAGUAACAUCUCAGUUUACAAAUUAAAGGUUUCAAAAAUUAUUAAGUGACCAAGGUGACUGUUGUUUCUUAUACACGCAGCUGGUGUUCUUGAUAGCAGAAAUCCGUUAAUAAAAGCCCACAAGCUUAUUUCUAGAUUUGGUUUUAACACAUCGAAAAUUUAUAGAAGCUAAAUAAUUUCUAAAGUUGUAAAUAUUAAAAUUAGUUUUAAAAUGGUAGUUGAAGAGCUAAUGCAAUAGUGACACAGACUUAAAUAAGUUUGUUGAGUUCUUUAGUAGCAAUAUGCUAACAUGAGUAACGCAAAUGAAAUUGAUAAAAUUUUCAUCGCUGAAAGAUCAAGGAUUGAAAUAUAAGGGAAUCCCUUAUUUUGACAUUCGGUAAUUAAAUCAAAAGUAUAUAAUUAGGAGAUGAUAUUGGAAUUAAGUAAAUUAUGGUUAAAUCAUCAAAUUACGACUAAAGCCGAGGGUUGGCCGAGAAGAUAUGGCUGGCUUAAGCUUUAAGUUGUACAAGAAAAUACCAACAUAAACCGUACUGCAAUCCAACACGGGUGAUUUGGAAGAAUAUUCUAAAGCGAAUAAAGUCAAGAAUGUUUAAGGAACUCUGCAAAAUAGCUCUGCAACUUAGGAAGAAGGAGUAAUUAUGUUCUCUAAAAGGAAAGUAAUUGGCACGAAGUGGAAGCAGCGACUGUUUAAUAAAAACACAAAACAAUGCGAAGUUGGCAAAAUGAAGAAUAUUGUUUGAUACCUGCCCGGCUCUGCUCUGCGAAAAGGAGAUGUUUAAAAAGCUUCGAAUAUAACCAUCAGAAAACGGCGGCUGUAACUCUGACGGUCCUAAGGUAGCGUAAUCCGUUGUCAGGUAAGUUCUGACUAGUAUGAAAGGUAUAACGCCUGCUUUACUGUCUUAAACGUUUUUUUAGUGAAAUUGAAUUUUUUGUGAAGAUGCAAAAUAAAGAAAACUUAGACGGAAAGACCCCGUACACCUUUACUAUAAUUUUUUAUUGUUAUUACGAGUGUGCUAUAAGAGAAUAGGUAGGUCGUUGUGAAACAAAGUUGGAAUACUACCUAGCACAAAUUGUAAAACUAAUGUCAGAAAAGUAGUUUACUGAUUAAAUAUGAAUCAUUGGUAGUUUGACUGGGGCGGUCAUCUUCUAAAGAGUAACGAGGGUGAACAACAAUUAGUUUAAUUUUCAUUUCAAGCUUGUUGAUCAUUAACUGAAUUAAAGGCAUAAGCUAAUUUGACUAUAUAAUUGACAAAUUAUAUUGGGAUGUGUCUAUGUUUCAUAGAUUUACAUCAGUCUUAAAGACCCGGUACUUUUCUAUGGAAAGAGUAUCGAUCAACGGAUAAAAGGUACGUUGGGGAUAACAGGUUUAUUCUCCGAAAAAGUUCUUAUUGGACGGAGAGAUUGACACCUCGAUGUCGGUUCGUCGCAUCCUUCAGCUGAACAUGGUUGAAAGGGUUUUGCUGUUCGCAAAUUAAAAGCGGUACGUGAACUGGGUUUAAAACGUUGUGAAACAGUUUAGUCCCUAUCUGGUUUUACUAAAAUAAAAAAGACAUUGAACUAAGUACGAGAGGAACCAGAAACAUCGAUCACUGCUCAUGUAGUUGUUUCGCUAGAGGCACCGCUACUUUGGGUACAUUGGCGUUGAUAAAUAUUGAACGCAUAUUAAAUAUGAAGCAACUCUUUUUUAUCUACUUGAAUUAAAUAUCGAUAAUUAUUUACUUAUACGUCAACAUAAUUGGUUGUGAAACUAGCUGUGUUGCUUUAUUAAUCAAAUUCAUAUAUUUGUUAGAAAUUGGGUUAAAGUUUCUAAGCAU
rnacentral:rRNA from 1 species